CAAAUUCUGGGUGAUUUGGCUGUGCGAUCUGCCACCCCCUUGACUGUCAGGGUUGAUUUGGCUGAUUUGGCCGGCUACACAGGUAUCUUCCUGCUUACUGCUUGUUGUACGUCUCUCAUGAAGUUGCCUGCUCAGUUGAAGAGGACAACCAGAUGGAAACAGGGCACCAUUCUUCAGUCAAGGUUACAGCACAAAUGUUCUGUCUGGAGAGAUCCUCCAAAGGCACAACUGCAAAACAGGACAAAAGCUGAGAGCUAAAUAUUCNUGCCUUUGAAAAAAGUAUGACCUCUCUGUUCUAAUCU
rnacentral:snRNA from 1 species